ensembl:ncRNA lncRNA:CR44789 long non-coding RNA:CR44789
GUUGAUUUUUCACAAUUUCCGGUCAAGCGAAAGCUGCCCGGCACCAAAUGGCGGAAACGUAAUUUGGUUCUUGGCCAUUAUUUUCGGUUCUGGCCGCAAAGCCAAAGCGAACUCAUCGUCCUUCGAUGGUCGGAGUCCGUGGAGUCCAUCGCCUCAUCAUAAUCGAAGCCACGAAACUGAAGGACUGCGCCACAAUGCGGUUUCCGCUGCCAGCUGAUUGGCUUCCGUUUCCGCUAAUUUUUGGAAAACUCGCCUCUCUGCCCUUCCCAUGUGCCUUUGUCUCUGGCCGAGUUGUUAUAGUUGCUGUUGAUUAGGCUCAAAGCUAAUUUCAUUUCAGAUUGGAAUUGAAAUUACCAACUUUCUAUCGUGCCCCAACUACCCACUUAAAUAGUACAACAAAGGUAUUUCAUAAAUUAGAAACCUCUAUUCCAUUCAACUUUUCAGUGAUACAAUCAAAAUGGCUGAGUGCAUUAUUCACAUACCAGCAAAGUGCAUCGAAUCAGCAGCUGUAGAACCCGAAAAGAAGAAACUACAACCAGUAGAGCAAUGGCGAAUCUUUUUCGACCGUCUACACACAAAUAUCUCUUGUCGGAUACUUUUAUUGCCCUGCACAUUCGCUGUGUCUAAGCACAUCAAAUAUGUAUUCGGAAUGGAAAUUUAAAACCUUAUUACUGGCAGAGUGGAAAGCG